rnacentral:rRNA from 1 species
UGGGGAAUUUUGAACAAUGGGGGAAACCCUGAUGCAGCGACGCCGCGUGAUUUAGAAGGCCUUCGGGUUGUAAAAAUCUUUUCUAUGGGAAGAAAAUGACAGUACCAUAGGAAUAAGGACCGGCUAAUUACGUGCCAGCAGCCGCGGUAAUACGUAAGGUCCGAGCGUUGUCCGGAAUCAUUGGGCGUAAAGGGUACGUAGGCGGGUAAGCGAGUUAGAAGUGAAAUCCUAUAGCUCAACUAUAGUAAGCUUUUAAAACUGCUCAUCUUGAGGUAUGGAAGGGAAAGUGGAAUUCCUAGUGUAGCGGUGAAAUGCGCAGAUAUUAGGAGGAAUACCGGUGGCGAAGGCGACUUUCUGGCCAUAACCUGACGCUGAGGUACGAAAGCGUGGGUAGCAAACAGG